ensembl:lncRNA
CCUACCUGCAGUAAGAGGGGUUCUCGGGACGCACGUACACGUGUUGGUCAUAAUGAAUCUUCAUCGCUGGAAAAACUAAAGGACGAACUUGCAGCCAGACUAUCUGCAGUUCUGUUGCCAUAUUUAUGAGUUACGGUUAUGUUGGCCAUACAAAACACAGACAUAAAAAAAUGAACUGCAUUAGUCAGCAAGUUUCCACUUCCUCUGUCCUCCUUUCCUGCUUCUCUCCACAUCAGUCCCAUCCUGAAGACAUCCCGUUUCUCCAUUCUGAAAGAGGAGCCAUGUUAACCAGUCGGCCUCUGAAGGAGAGAGACACUGACAGACUGCCUCCAUCUCAAGUCGAGCAGCUGUUGUUGUAACUACCCCUGUUUAUCUCUGCACUUCCUAGUUUGUACCUAGGAGCUAACGGGAGCUGACCCGCCAUUCAAAACCCAACAGGAUUCUGGGAACAGACGCUUUCUGCGUUACCCGGCACCGUCAAUCUCUCUUACCUGUCGCAUGUGUCACAUCAGAGCGAGAAAAAGAGAGAGGGUCAGGAAGAAAGUGACACUGGAGAGACAACACGAGGUAAACAGAUCAGGAUCCAUUCCCCUGAGACGCUAUUAAGACCCCCGUGAGAACAACACUAGUUAUCCAGAGGGGCCUCAACACUUAACACACGCUUCCUGUCCAUCUCCUCCCCCAACAAACAUGUCCUUGUUGUUUCAGAUGGGAAGGUGACCUCACUUCUGCUGUGCUCUGGUUCCCAUUGCUGUCCAACAGGGAAAGAUAAAUGUAAGAUCACUAUUACACAAACACACACCCAUACAUUUCAUGAAUGUAAUGCAGGCAGAUUUCCAUAAAUAGACCCAACAAGCCCACACAGAAACCUCUUUGUGUCAUGUUUGUGGACUGUAAAUCACAGAAGAAUGAGGCAUCAGUGAAACAAAUAGCGACUUUAUGAGAUAAAGUUAAGUAAGUUGAAUUUGAUUGGAGUGUCUGUCGUAAUAUUGGCUCUGGGCAUUAAUGUUUAAUGGCAGCAUUAAUAUUAACAAGUGUACAAGCACAAAUGAGCAAAGCAGCAGGUCACAGGGUUUAUUAGCACCGUGGGGAGUGAUCGGCAGGUAUUCACAGAAUCUAAGGAGAACAGCACAUCUAACACGGCCACUGGGUGGCUUUCUGCCCUCUGUUUGAGUCUGUUUGUCAUGACGCUGAGGGGCAAACACACUCACACACUCAUACCAACACACACACAAACGUACUUAACGCUGGAUGACAUUAACAUGCUGGCUGCAUAGGUUACUUCCAGCAGGCUCUUUGUGUGUCGCUGCUGUGCUGGUAGCAGUUGUUUGUUGUGUGUGUGUGUGUGUGUGUGUGUGUGUGUGUGUGUACAUGCAUAUGCAGCAAUGAGUA